GACGAACGCUGGCGGCGUGCUUAACACAUGCAAGUCGAACGAAAAGGCCCUGCUUUUGCGGGGUGCUCGAUUGGCGAACGGGGGAGUAACACGUGAGUAACCUCCCCCUGUCUUUGUGAUAAAUUCUGGAAACUGGGGCUAAAACCGGAUAGGAGCUCUUGCAGCGCGGGGGUCGUUGGAAAGAUUCGGUGGUUGUGGAUGGAAUCGAGGGUUCUCAGCCUCUUGGUGGAGUAGUGGCUUCCCAAGGGUUUGACGGGUAGCCGGCCUGAGAGGGUGACCGGCCUCAUUGGGACUACGAGACGGAGCAGAAGCGUACGGGAGGCAGCAGUCGGGAACAUUGCGCAGUAGGGGGAAGCCUGAUGCAGAAACGCCGCGUGCGUGAUGACGGCUUACGGGUGGUAAACCAAUGUCGACGGAAACGAGGACUGCGUGACGGUAAUGGGUCAAGAAGCAACGGCUAACUACGUG
rnacentral:rRNA from 1 species